GCACGAGAAGAAGGAAUACUGCUGAGCGUGGCGCAGCAGUAACAUUCCGUCCAUGCGGUUGACAAAAGCCUCCGUACGCUCUCGCCCAUGUUCAUAUAAGGAACAGUCCCGAAGGUGUUCUUGAGCAGCACCCAGAAGACAGUGACUUGUAU